GCAGCUCCUAAUCCCUAAUCCUGUGGGUCAGUGCAUCUGGCUGUAAACCAGAAGGUUGGUGGUUUGAGCCCACCCAGGGACG